AUGGCUCCAUGCUGUAAGAGCAGGAGAAGGCUGUGCUGCAGAUGGGCGCCCUGGAUGGUGGGGAGGCAAAUGGGAUGCUGCUUCAGGUACCAAACCUCCUCUGUCUACAGAGAGCUCGGGGAUAGUAUCGGACACCUCCUGGAGCUGGAGCUGCAGGUCUCAUCUGCCGGAGCAGCAGAUGCUUCCUGGGUGCCCUGGAUACUGACAAGGAAGAGUGGGGAAGACAUGGGAUGGAGGAGAUGGAUUGAGCAACCAUUGAUCCCUGCCAAGGCGCACACUGUCAGGCUUGGGAAGUGCUGGUCCUUCCCACUGCCCCUGCCCUCCCUCUCUCCACACUGCUUCGAGCUUGCUCUGCUUUGGCAGGAACCCACAUUUUCAUCACUCCUCUCCUCCCCUUGGCUCAGCUGGAGCGGCUCCUCCCGGCCCCUCUUCUGCCAGCACCAGGAACAUUCCCCUGCAUGCUGUGGGACCACUGCUUGGAAACCCACCGCUGGAAGCAGAGAAGGAGCCCAGGGUGCUGCUGGUCCUGCACAGAAGGGGUUUGUCCAACUGCAUCAUCUGCUGGUGGCUGAGCUUGUCCCUUCCUGCUGUGAGGCUGCUGCUUGGCACUGCUGCUGAUCUCCCUCAUUCCUGGUGUGGCAGGAACAGGAGCUAUUGCAGGCAAGUGGAGAUGUUUUUCUCUGUCACAGCCAGUUUUACCUGUGCCCCUGGCUCUCUCAGGGCAGCUCAUGUCCUAGGUUUUUUGCUUGCAAAGCUUGGCUGGAUCAGUUAGUUAAAGACUGACCAUAGCCCUGUUGAGACAAUAAGUAAAAUACAUUCCUAAAAGGCUGCUUCUUCCACAGAUUUCUGUCUGUCCACAGGGUUAAAAUUAGGGAAAGCUGUGUCUGGCACCCACAGCUGCUGGCUGAGCUUGCCCUGGGAGGGAGAAGGCUGAGGGAUGGCCAAAGCAACCUGGGGAACCUAAAGGACAGCCCCUGGUGCUCUUUAAUGAUGAAAAAGCCCCUUUUUUAAGCAGGACACAAGUACCCGCAUGGGCUGUACCCCACCUGAAAUGUAACUGGUUAUCAUGACUCCCAAACCUUUAGUAACGUAGCCCCUGUAACGUUACUUCUGAGUGCAGUGUGUGAAGCAGUUGUGGGCACCCACAGACUCAGUUUUAAUUGUGCCAUGGUCAUGGGCUCCUGGUAGGUGAUUUCCAGAUAUUUAUUUUUGCCUUGAAGCCAUCUCUAGGGAGGCUUCUUCUGAAGCCUCUGCUCUGACUGCAUCUUCCUGUGCCCGCACUGCAACCACAGCCCCUGCUCCUCUUCACUGCUGCUCUUUGCCCUUUGGGCCGUGACGGGUUCACGGGUGUCCAGGCUGGUGCAGGGCUGGGGCAGCACCCAGCUCUGUGCUGGGGGUGCAGGUGCUGUGGCAGCACCCAGCUCUGUGCCGGGGGUGCAGGCACUGGGGCAGCGCUGCUCUAAGGGUCUCAUUUACAGGAGAUGAGGCUCAGUGCCAAGUGUUAAACUAAGAAACACACUGAUGUAAAGUGAGGGGAAAGGCAGAGAGGAGCUUGUGGGGAAAGGGGAAUGGGUGUGACUUGUGGGGAUGUGAGCUGCUUUUUAGGCUUUAGUAAGUU
rnacentral:lncRNA from 14 species